CCUACGGGUGGCAGCAGUGGGGAAUUUUGCGCAAUGGGGGAAACCCUGACGCAGCAACGCCGCGUGGAGGAUGAAAUCCCUUGGGAUGUAAACUCCUUUCGAUAGGGAAGAUUAUGACGGUACCUAUAGAAGAAGCCCCGGCUAACUUCGUGCCAGCAGCCGCGGUAAUACGAGGGGGGCAAGCGUUGUUCGGAUUUAUUGGGCGUAAAGGGUGCGUAGGCGGUUUGGCAAGUCUUGUGUGAAAUCUUUGGGCUCAACCCAAAGCCUGCACAAGAAACUGCCGGGCUUGAGUAUGGGAGAGGUGAGUGGAAUUUCCGGUGGAGCGGUGAAAUGCGUAGAUAUCGGAAGGAACACCUGUGGCGAAAGCGGCUCACUGGACCAUUACUGACGCUGAGGCACGAAAGCUAGGGGAGCAAACAGGAUUAGAUACCCCUGUAGUC
rnacentral:rRNA from 1 species